GAUAAACGCUGGCGGCGUGCAUGAGACAUGCAAGUCGAACGAAGGAUCGGGCUUGCUCGAUCCUUAGUGGCGGACGGCUGAGUAACGCGUAGGUGACCUACCCCGAAGUGGGGAAUAACUGCCCGAAAGGGUGGCUAAUACCGCAUGUGGUCGCACGUUCAUUCGUGCGAGUAAAGCCGCAAGGCGCUUCGGGAGGGGCCUGCGUCCGAUUAGCUCGUUGGUGGGGUAAUGGCUUACCAAGGCGACGAUCGGUAGGUGGUCUGAGAGGACGAUCACCCAGACUGGGACUGAGACACGGCCCAGACUCCUACGGGAGGCAGCAGUCGGGAAUUUUGCUCAAUGGGGGAAACCCUGAAGCAGCAACGCCGCGUGAGGGAUGAAGGCCUUCGGGUUGUAAAACUCUUUUGUCAGGGACGAUGAUGACGGUACCUGGCGAAUAAGCCACGGCUAACUACGUG
rnacentral:rRNA from 1 species